rnacentral:rRNA from 1 species
AUUGAACGCUGGCGGAAUGCUUUACACAUGCAAGUCGAGCGGCAGCGCGGGGGCAACCCUGCGGCGAGCGGCGAACGGGUGAGUAAUACAUCGGAACGUGUCCUUGAGUGGGGGAGUAGCUCGGCGAAAGCCGGAUUAAUACCGCAUAAGCUCUGCGGAGGAAAGCGGGGGACGUGGUAACGGCCUCGCGCUGUUGGAGCGGCCGAUGUCGGAUUAGCUAGUUGGUGGGGUAAAGGCCCACCAAGGCGACGAUCCGUAGCUGGUCUGAGAGGAUGAUCAGCCACACUGGAACUGAGACACGGUCCAGACUCCUACGGGAGGCAGCAGUGGGGAAUUUUGGACAAUGGGGGCAACCCUGAUCCAGCCAUUCCGCGUGAGUGAAGAAGGCCU